rnacentral:rRNA from 1 species
ACUUAAAUUGAAGAGUUUGAUCAUGGCUCAGAUUGAACGCUGGCGGCAGGCCUAACACAUGCAAGUCGAGCGGUAGCACAGAGAGCUUGCUCUCGGGUGACGAGCGGCGGACGGGUGAGUAAUGUCUGGGAAACUGCCUGAUGGAGGGGGAUAACUACUGGAAACGGUAGCUAAUACCGCAUAAUGUCGCAAGACCAAAGUGGGGGACCUUCGGGCCUCAUGCCAUCAGAUGUGCCCAGAUGGGAUUAGCUAGUAGGUGGGGUAACGGCUCACCUAGGCGACGAUCCCUAGCUGGUCUGAGAGGAUGACCAGCCACACUGGAACUGAGACACGGUCCAGACUCCUACGGGA